rnacentral:rRNA from 1 species
UGGGUGUGUAAGUGUAGCGAUACAUUGAGCUAACCAGUACUAAUGAACCGUGAGGCUUAACCUUACAACGCCGAAG